UACGAAGGGGGCUAGCGUUGCUCGGAAUUACUGGGCGUAAAGCGCACGUAGGCGGCUUUCUAAGUCAGGGGUGAAAUCCUGGAGCUCAACUCCAGAACUGCCUUUGAUACUGAAGAUCUUGAGUUCGGGAGAGGUGAGUGGAACUGCGAGUGUAGAGGUGAAAUUCGUAGAUAUUCGCAAGAACACCAGUGGCGAAGGCGGCUCACUGGCCCGAUACUGACGCUAAGGCACGAAAGCGUGGGGAGCAAACAGG
rnacentral:rRNA from 1 species